rnacentral:rRNA from 1 species
UUUGAAGAGAGAGUUCAAUAGUACGUGAAACUGCUUAGAGGUAAUUGGGUGGGCCCUCGAAAUCCUGGGCGAGGUUAUUCAGUGGCCGGCGCUUCGCGUAAUGCGACUCGAGAGUUCCCCGGUGGGGACGCGGUCGCGAUACAGCUUGAGGUUAGUCGGCCACGCAUUUGACUUAGCCCGAAAGGACGCCGCAACCGGUUGGGUGACGGCCUUAAGGGCGGGCGUGAGGAAGGUAGCCGUCGGCAUCCCGUCCCGGGGCGUCGGCGGUGUUAUAGCCUGCCCGCCGCACGGCGCGUCGCCUGACCGUUCAGAUGACGUACCCGGACUGGGGUACAUUCGCUUCCCCUUAACAGAGUGGCGGGGGCAAGGGCGGCACGGGUUCGCUGCCUUCCACUCCCUGGCUCACGUACGUGAGGUCGUGGCCGGGAGUGCAGUGUUCCCGAUAGCUGCCCGCCGACCCGUAUGGGGCUUUGCGUUCGCGGCGAGUAGAUCGGUCACCCACCCUUCCC